rnacentral:rRNA from 1 species
GGGCCCGCACAAGCGGUGGAGUAUGUGGUUUAAUUCGAUGCAACGCGAAGAACCUUACCAGGGUUUGACAUCCUGCGAAUCUCUUGGAAACGAGAGAGUGCCUUCGGGAACGCAGUGACAGGUGGUGCAUGGCUGUCGUCAGCUCGUGUCGUGAGAUGUUGGGUUAAGUCCCGCAACGAGCGCAACCCACGUCUUUAGUUGCCAGCAUUUAGUUGGGCACUCUAGAGAGACUGCCGGUGUCAAACCGGAGGAAGGUGGGGACGACGUCAAGUCCUCAUGGCCCUUACGACUGGGGCUACACACGUACUACAAUGGCAACUACAAUGGGCAGCGAAAUCGCGAGAUGGAGCUAAUCCCCAAAAGUUGCCUCAGUUCGGAUUGGAGUCUGCAACUCGACUCCAUGAAGUCGGAAUCGCUAGUAA